UACCCACUGCACCCAGGCACCUCAGCUCGGAUCAGGGAGAAUUGGUGGAAUCCUGGUUAGCGUUUCAGGGCCGGCCCCGUUUUCCUCAGCACAGCUUCAGCAGCUCUCGGAUCCUCUGCUGUGUGCGGUUCAGCUGUGUUUGUCAUCUGGAAGCAGAUAAGUUGCAGCCAGUGGAAGUUUAUGAUCUCCAUCAAUUGAUGACUUCAAGGUAACAGGACAGCCUGGAAGCAGAAAGGAAGCUACUUUUUACCAGAGGCAUCAAGGUGGCAUGCUGUUAGAGGCGGAGCUUAUUUCUCAUGACUAAAAUGGAAUAAGAAGAGGAAUGUGAUCUCUCAGCUUCCUGCUUUGGCCACCAUACCUUCUGGCUGCCAUGCCUUCCUGGUAUGAUGAACUCUUAUCUGUCUGGAAUGAAAGAAAAAAGGAUGAAACACCAAUGAAGACAAGUAGCCCAACUGAUCCAGCCUCCCAGAAUGCUUCUGUUGCAGCUUCCUCAAAAUUCUGCAUCCAGAACAACUUUAAAGCUGCUAGCUAAGAUGGUCCAACCUUGUAGACUGUACAGCCAAGACUUCAGGAGCUCCAGGCUGCUGAACAUCACAUGUGUGACUCGCUUCUGCCAUCUUUCCUUCCAAUUUUGCGAGUCCACUUUUUAAAAACAUCACCUGCAGCCACCCUUACCCAACCCUUUUUACGUGGGUUCUUGGGAGAUCAAACUCAGACCUGUGUGCGUGCAGGUUUGAAGGUGGAAAAGCAAGAGAGAAUGAACCUGAUUCUGCAGCCCCUUUUUAAAAUAACAUUGAUCCACACCUGAGAUACCGGAGAUGGAGACCGAAACACAUCCUCAAAGACCGAUCUCAAGUAGCACUUCACUGGGGAUUUAGUUUCCAAUGAGCCUGGGAUUUGAAGUCAAAUGGAUUUGUGAGUUUAAAUCCUGUCCAAAUUAUCAUCAGAUACAACAUAUUGGACAUAUCAGUCCUUCCCUCUCAAUCUCAUUUUAAAAUUCUUCUGGGACUUUAUGAUGGACAGAGGUAAAACAGGGGAGAGAGUUAGUUCUCCAACUGCUUCUCCAGACUGUCUCCUUGCACUUAUUUUUA